CGGCGAGUGAAGCGGCAAAAGCUCAAAUUUGAAAUCUGGUACCUUUGGUGCCCGAGUUGUAAUUUGGAGAGUACCACUUUGGGACUGUACUUUGCCUAUGUUCCUUGGAACAGGACGUCAUGGAGGGUGAGAAUCCCGUGUGGCGAGGGUGUCAGUUCUUUGUAAAGGGUGCUCGAAGAGUCGAGUUGUUUGGGAAUGCAGCUCUAAGUGGGUGGUAAAUUCCAUCUAAAGCUAAAUACAGGCGAGAGACCGAUAGCGAACAAGUACAGUGAUGGAAAGAUGAAAAGAACUUUGAAAAGAGAGUGAAAAAGUACGUGAAAUUGUUGAAAGGGAAGGGCAUUUGAUCAGACAUGGUGUUUUGCGCCCCUUGCCUCUCGUGGGCUUGGGACUCUCGCAGCUCACUGGGCCAGCAUCGGUUUUGGCGGCCGGAAAAAACCUAGGGAAUGUGGCUCUGCGCCUCGGUGUAGAGUGUUAUAGCCCUGGGGAAUACGGCCAGCCGGGACCGAGGACUGCGAUACUUGUUAUCUAGGAUGCUG
rnacentral:rRNA from 1 species